GACAGAGGGUGCAAACGUUGUUCGGAAUUACUGGGCGUAAAGCGUGUGUAGGCGGCUUCGUAAGUCGGAUGUGAAAGCCCCGGGCUCAACCCGGGAAGUGCACUCGAUACUGCGAAGCUUGAGUACUGGAGAGGUUGGUGGAAUUCUCGGUGUAGAGGUGAAAUUCGUAGAUAUCGAGAGGAACACCGGUGGCGAAGGCGGCCAACUGGACAGAUACUGACGCUGGAGACACGAAAGCGUGGGGAGCAAACAGG
rnacentral:rRNA from 1 species